rnacentral:snRNA from 1 species
GUGCUGCUCGGCAGCACAUAUACUAAAAUUGGAACGAUACAGAGAUUAGCAUGGCCCCUGCGCAAGGCUGACACGCACAUUCGUGAAGCAUUCCAUAGUAAA